GACGAACGCUGGCGGCGUGCCUAAUACAUGCAAGUCGAACGCUUCUUUCCUCCCGAGUGCUUGCACUCAAUUGGAAAGAGGAGUGGCGGACGGGUGAGUAACACGUGGGUAACCUACCCAUCAGAGGGGGAUAACACUUGGAAACAGGUGCUAAUACCGCAUAACAGUUUAUGCCGCAUUGCAUAAGAGUGAAAGGCGCUUUCGGGUGUCGUUGAUGGAUGGACCCGCGGUGCAUUAGCUAGUUGGUGAGGUAACGGCUCACCAAGGCCACGAUGCAUAGCCGACCUGAGAGGGUGAUCGGCCACACUGGGACUGAGACACGGCCCAGACUCCUACGGGAGGCAGCAGUAGGGAAUCUUCGGCAAUGGACGAAAGUCUGACCGAGCAACGCCGCGUGAGUGAAGAAGGUUUUCGGAUCGUAAAACUCUGUUGUUAGAGAAGAACAAGGACGUUAGUAACUGAACGUCCCCUGACGGUAUCUAACCAGAAAGCCACGGCUAACUACGUG
rnacentral:rRNA from 1 species